UCCUCACCUCUUGGAAGGAGCAGCUGCACAUUGUGUGUCUCUUACUAAAGCAUCAUCGGUAUCACUGUGACCUGACCGACCAGUCCGGACCUGGCCUGAGUAAGCAGCGUCACCAGCCCAGACUCCAGUCCAGUGCUUUGAAGAUCUGCCCCAGGCCCUGAUUGCACCCUGCCUCAGCAACAGCUGGCUACAGCAGAACAAACAACAUGGACUUUGCUAUUUCUCAAGGAGUAGAGCAAGCAGCAAAUUCAUCCCCAGCCAUGGAAGUC